GGCCUCGUGGCCCAAUGGCAAGGCGUCUGACUACGAUGGAUUACAAGCCGUAACUCCGGUUCGGUUUCCUUACGAUAAUCAGGAGAUUCUGGGUUCGACCCCCAGCGAGGUCA